rnacentral:lncRNA from 1 species
UAGAUAUACUUUCUACAAACCUCUAAUGAAAACAUAACUAUACAAAUACGGGACUGAGCCAAGUCAUACCCAUACACAUAUAUAUAUACACACAAAUGUAUCGUACCAAAAUCAAAGCAGCUCCGGAUCAAGUAGAGCAUGCCAACUCUCGCUGACCAGGGAUCCUAAGAAGGGGGACCAUUAGCUUGCCUACCUGCACCUGUGGGCAUGAAACGUUGGCCCCGUGAAAUAGGGCGUCAGUACAAAAAAUGUACUGAGUAUGUAAGGCAUGAAAAUUAGUACGUAAAAGACAUAGAUGAAACAUGGAAUACAGAAACACAUCUAUAAAUAUGAAUAACUUUGUAAAUUUUGAAAUGUUUAUAAUGUUAUGCACGUGCGUAUAAAUGUCGUGUCAUGCAUAGAUAUGGGUAUGCAUAAUAUCAUCAAGCCACUGAGGGCAUACCAUCGUAUCAUCUCAGCCACUGUGGGCAAUGUCAUCAACAUAUACCAGCUGAUCAGGUGGUGGUGCGUAUAUAACGCCGUAACCUUUUCCCAUAUCUAAUAUACAUAUUUUUACAUAUAUACGUGUAUAUAAUGCCACCUGGUCAUGGGUCAAUGCACAUGAGUGAAAUGCAUGAAAAAUACGUAAUAAUCUCAAUAUUCCUUUCGGAUAAACUUUUCUAACUGCGCAUUAUUUUGAGACCCAUGAACAGAAAAUAAUAAUAAUUUUCAUGGGGAAUAAAGAAUAUAGACACCUCUAAUAAUUCUAUAAAUAAAGUAGUUUGUGAAAACUGUGUAUUCGCUCAUUUCUUCAAUAUAAUUUGAAUCAUGCCAAAAGAAAGAAGGGAGGGCUUUACAUACAUGUUCCCUGAAUUAUUCGAAUGGGAUGAAGCUUCU